UACGGAAGGCAGCAGUGGGGAAUAUUGCACAAUGGGCGCAAGCCUGAUGCAGCCAUGCCGCGUGUAUGAAAAAGGCCUUCGGGUUGUAAAGUACUUUCAGUCGUGAGGAAGGUGUUAAGGUUAAUAACCUUAGCAAUUGACGUUAGCGACAGAAGAAGCACCGGCUAACUCCGUGCCAGCAGCCGCGGUAAUACGGAGGGUGCGAGCGUUAAUCGGAAUUACUGGGCGUAAAGGGCACGCAGGCGGUUAAUUAAGUUGGAUGUGAAAUCCCCGGGCUUAACCUGGGAAUGGCAUUCAAGACUGGUUAGCUAGAGUCUUGUAGAGGGGGGUUAGAAUUCCAUGUGUAGCGGUGAAAUGCGUAGAGAUGUGGAGGAAUACCGGUGGCGAGGGCGGCCCCUGGACAAAGACUGACGCUCAUGUGCGAAAGCUGGGGAGCAAACAGGGAUUAGAUACC
rnacentral:rRNA from 1 species